rnacentral:rRNA from 1 species
CCUACGGGAGGCAGCAGUAGGGAAUAUUGGACAAUGGGUGCGAGCCUGAUCCAGCCAUGCCGCGUGCAGGAAGAAGGCCGGCUGGGUUGUAAACUGCUUUUGCCAGGGGUAAAAAGCCCUGCGAGGGAAAUUGAAGGUACCUGGUGAAUAAGCCACGGC